GGUGGAGCGAUUUGUCUGGUUAAUUCCGAUAACGAACGAGACUCUGGCCUAUUAAAUAGACGAUAUAUUUCAAAGUAUAUCGCGCUUCUUAGAGGGACAAGCGGCGUCUAGCCGCAUGAAAUAGAGCAAUAACAGGUCUGUGAUGCCCUUAGAUGUCCGGGGCUGCACGCGCGCUACACUGAAAGAAGCAGUGUGCGUCGAGACCCUAGUCCGGAAGGACCGGGUAACCCAAGUAAAUUCUUUCGUGCUUGGGAUAGGGAAUUGGAAUUAUUUCCCUUAAACGAGGAAUUCCCAGUAAAUGCGGGUCAUAAGCUCGCGUUGAAUACGUCCCUGCCCUUUGUAC
rnacentral:rRNA from 1 species